UACGAAGGGUGCAAGCGUUACUCGGAAUUACUGGGCGUAAAGCGUGCGUAGGUGGUUUGUUAAGUCUGAUGUGAAAGCCCUGGGCUCAACCUGGGAAUUGCAUUGGAUACUGGCAGGCUAGAGUGCGGUAGAGGGUAGUGGAAUUCCCGGUGUAGCAGUGAAAUGCGUAGAGAUCGGGAGGAACACCAGUGGCGAAGGCGGCUCACUGGCCCGGUACUGACGCUGAGGUGCGAAAGCGUGGGGAGCAAACAGG
rnacentral:rRNA from 1 species